GAUAUGUUGGUUCAAGCCUGUAGUCGUGCCUGGUAGGUAAAUCCGCCGGGCUUAGAUGAGGGGUGAUAACGAGGCUGCUUGCAGUCGAAGUGAGUGAUACCCUGCUUCCAGGAAAAGCCACUAAGCUUCAGCUACACACGACCGUACCGCAAACCGACACUGGUGCGCGAGAUGAGUAUUCUAAGGCGCUUGAGAGAACUCAGGAGAAGGAACUCGGCAAAUUGACACCGUAACUUCGGAAGAAGGUGUGCCUUUAGUAGGUGAACCUGUACAAGGGGAGCCCAAUGAGGUUGCAAAAAAUCGGUGGCUGCGACUGUUUAAUAAAAACACAGCACUCUGCAAACACGAAAGUGGACGUAUAGGGUGUGACGCCUGCCCGGUGCUGGAAGAUUAAAUGAUGGGGUGCAAGCUCUUGAUUGAAGUCCCAGUAAACGGCGGCCGUAACCAUAACGGUCCUAAGGUAGCGAAAUUCCUUGUCGGGUAAGUUCCGACCUGCACGAAUGGCGUAACGAUGGCCACACUGUCUCCUCCUGAGACUCAGCGAAGUUGAAAUGUUUGUGAUGAUGCAAUCUCCCCGCGGAAAGACGGAAAGACCCCAUGAACCUUUACUGUAGCUUUGUAUUGGACUUUGAACAGAUCUGUGUAGGAUAGGUGGGAGGCUUUGAAGUGUGGUCGCUAGAUCGCAUGGAGCCAACGUUGAAAUACCACCCUGGUGUGUUUGAGGUUCUAACCUAGGCCCGUAAUCCGGGUCGGGGACAGUGCAUGGUAGGCAGUUUAACUGGGGCGGUCUCCUCCCAAAGCGUAACGGAGGAGUUCGAAGGUACGCUAGGUACGGUCGGACAUCGUGCUAAUAGUGCAAUGGCAUAAGCGUGCUUAACUGCGAGACUGACAAGUCGAGCAGAUGCGAAAGCAGGACAUAGUGAUCCGGUGGUUCUGUAUGGAAGGGCCAUCGCUCAACGGAUAAAAGGUACUCUGGGGAUAACAGGCUGAUACCGCCCAAGAGUUCAUAUCGACGGCGGUGUUUGGCACCUCGAUGUCGGCUCAUCUCAUCCUGGGGCUGUAGCCGGUCCCAAGGGUAUGGCUGUUCGCCAUUUAAAGAGGUACGUGAGCUGGGUUUAAAACGUCGUGAGACAGUUUGGUCCCUAUCUUCCGUGGGCGCUGCAGAUUUGAGGAAGCCUGCUCCUAGUACGAGAGGACCGGAGUGGACACACCUCUGGUGUAUCGGUUGUCACGCCAGUGGCAUUGCCGAGUAGCUAUGUGUGGAAGAGAUAACCGCUGAAAGCAUCUAAGCGGGAAACUCGUUUCAAGAUGAGAUCUGCCGGGGCCUUGAGCCCCCUAAAGAGUCGUUCAAGACCAGGACGUUGAUAGGUCGGGUGUGGAAGCGCAGUAAUGCGUUAAGCUAACCGAUACUAAUUGCUCGUGCGGCUUGACCCC
rnacentral:rRNA from 1 species